rnacentral:lncRNA from 13 species
CUUUGCAACGAUUUACUUAUGGUGGUGUUUUGGGGAAUGCACUGAAGCAAACCGUGAAAUUAAAUGAACGAUUCACUAAAUCAAAUAAAGGAAAAGGAAUACAAAGCCAGCAGGGCACAGUGGAAUGAAAACCAGCAUCGACCUGAAAACCAGGACGCCUGGGUCCGGCUCCUGGCUCUGCGUCGAGUUGCCAUCUGUGAAAAGACAGGCCUGGUGCACACGGGGGAUGUGGCCGCACCAGUGAGGACAGACUGGAAGCAAAAGGGCCUGAGCCGAACUAGUGCACAGAUAAGCUGUGCUCUCUGGAAACCACAGCAGACAGCCAUAAAACAGAGAAAACAGGUCCUGCAAACCUACCAACGCCCGGCUUAUCGCACGCGAGAUUUAUAAGUGGAGACCUGGAAGGCACAGCUACCCUGCUUCAGGGAAACGCAAACACAGAAUAAGUAAUUAGCCUGCCUCGGGCUUUCCUCUGGAGAAAGCUUGAGAAUGGGAAGCAUCACUUAGAGACCUCUAAGAUAAGUUCAUUUAAAAUUUGGG